UGACACGCGAGAAAAUAAAGUAACUUCAGUCGAAAGAAUCGAACCUUUAGAUAGCUUUCUGAAAUUUAGUGUAUCUACAAUGUGUCUAAGCUUAAUAAAUCUGCCCUUUAACAUUUAGUUAAUGUUAGACCAUGUAUCUUGAAAUUUAUAGUCCAUUUAGGUCUGGAACAAAAUGUUUCACAAAAAAUGCUGUGAUGAAAUUUAACUAAAUUUUCACUCGUGCCGUUGUGUUGAGAAAAACUACUAAUGCACUGUCAUCUGUGGGAGUCAUCUGUAUUAGCUCAAUCCAUUUAGUGAGUUUCCUGUUACACUUUGGAAGAUCUUCUCUACACUGCCAUGGUGUUGUACUGGUAUUAAUUACAAAAUAAAAUACAUAUAUAUGCACUACUGUGUAAUUUCCAGUUGAUAAAAUGUAUUUAUUGCUAAGCAAAUGUAACAUUAAUUUACUGACAACUUCUCUGUUGAGAUGUCGUCUGUGGUACUCCCAGGCUAGGGAACCAUUUCAUUUUCUUGCAGUGCUAAAAAGUGAAGUGCAUGUUAAUGUAAAUAUUUCUUCCAUAAGAUCAUUUUGCUCAAAGUACCCCAACAUUUCGAAACUUGAAUAUGUAGCUCUAAUUAAAUCACAGUAUUUGGCAGAACAGCUUGGCUGUGCUCAUAGCACUGCAGCUACUCUUUUGAAGGUUAAUGAAUCACUUCUAACCAUGACACCGAAACAAAUUUCAAAAACAGCAAUGGUUGUUAAAAAUAUAUUUACAAUUCAAGACAUCUUAAAUCACCCAAAAAUUUUAAGUGUAAAUCAUGGAUUUGUGGAACAACGACAUCAGAUUCUAAAGGAAGUGGGAUUUACCGAUAUAACACCUGGAAAAAUAGU